rnacentral:rRNA from 1 species
UGAGAUUUUAACACGAAGUGAGUGGCGGACGGGUGAGUAACACGUGGGUAACCUGCCCAGAAGCAGGGGAUAACACCUGGAAACAGAUGCUAAUACCGUAUAACAGAGAAAACCGCCUGGUUUUCUUUUAAAAGAUGGCUCUGCUAUCACUUCUGGAUGGACCCGCGGCGCAUUAGCUAGUUGGUGAGGUAACGGCUCACCAAGGCGAUGAUGCGUAGCCGACCUGAGAGGGUAAUCGGCCACAUUGGGACUGAGACACGGCCCAGACUCCUACGGGAGGCAGCAGUAGGGAAUCUUCCACAAUGGACGCAAGUCUGAUGGAGCAACGCCGCGUGAGUGAAGAAGGGUUUCGGCUCGUAAAGCUCUGUUGUUAAAGAAGAACGUGGGUGAGAGUAACUGUUCACCCAGUGACGGUAUUUAACCAGAAAGCCACGGCUAACUACGUGCCAGCAGCCGCGGUAAUACGUAGGUGGCAAGCGUUAUCCGGAUUUAUUGGGCGUAAAGCGAGCGCAGGCGGUCUUUUAAGUCUAAUGUGAAAGCCUUUCGGCUCAACCGAAGAAGUGCAUUGGAAACUGGGAGACUUGAGUGCAGAAGAGGACAGUGGAACUCCAUGUGUAGCGGUGAAAUGCGUAGAUAUAUGGAAGAACACCAGUGGCGAAGGCGGCUGUCUGGUCUGUAACUGACGCUGAGGCUCGAAAGCAUGGGUAGCGAACAGGAUUAGAUACCCUGGUAGUCCAUGCCGUAAACGAUGAUUACUAAGUGUUGGAGGGUUUCCGCCCUUCAGUGCUGCAGCUAACGCAUUAAGUAAUCCGCCUGGGGAGUACGACCGCAAGGUUGAAACUCAAAAGAAUUGACGGGGGCCCGCACAAGCGGUGGAGCAUGUGGUUUAAUUCGAAGCUACGCGAAGAACCUUACCAGGUCUUGACAUCUUCUGCCAACCUAAGAGAUUAGGCGUUCCCUUCGGGGACAGAAUGACAGGUGGUGCAUGGUUGUCGUCAGCUCGUGUCGUGAGAUGUUGGGUUAAGUCCCGCAACGAGCGCAACCCUUAUUACUAGUUGCCAGCAUUCAGUUGGGCACUCUAGUGAGACUGCCGGUGACAAACCGGAGGAAGGUGGGGACGACGUCAAAUCAUCAUGCCCCUUAUGACCUGGGCUACACACGUGCUACAAUGGAUGGUACAACGAGUUGCGAAACCGCGAGGUUUAGCUAAUCUCUUAAAACCAUUCUCAGUUCGGACUGUAGGCUGCAACUCGCCUACACGAAGUCGGAAUCGCUAGUAAUCGCGGAUCAGCAUGCCGCGGUGAAUACGUUCCCGGGCCUUGUACACACCGCCCGUCACACCANGNGAGUUUGUAACACCCAAAGCCGGUGGGGUAACCUUUUAGGAGCUAGCC